CAUCAUAAUACAACUACUUUACAAACUUUACAAUCCUAGCAUGGAGGAUUGUAAACUUUGUUGUUCCAUGUCUCUAGAGAUUAUACAUGUAUAUGCAGAGAUUCAGAAAUACUUCGCACAGAAACUUGGAGGAUUGCAGUUUUCGAUAUGUAGAUGGCAUGCAUGAUCAUUUGUAUGUAGCAAUUCCUGUAAAAUUCACUGGAUUGAAGAGGAAAUACCAAAACAAGGACCAUUGCUUGGAUGGACUCCUCUUGUUGCAAUUAAUUAAGGUGAAAUCAACGAUGGUCAGAUGAUCUAACUUUUCUUUUAGUGCUCUCAUCAAGCCUCCCCAACUUGGUGCACCACGAAUUGAAAACUACCUCUAGAGCCAACGACUGUGUUGCUUCCAUGUUCUAGAGAAGAAGCAACAAUCAAGAGCACUAUUCUUGGGAUAAACUUUGUCAAUAUGAGAUUCAAUCACUCAAGGAUCAAAAGCUUAUCUCUCUAUUCUAAUGAAAUAAAGAUCGACAUUUCUGUGAUGAGUGUCACGUGGUGGCUUACCAGGGUAUCAAUACUGUUAAGCCUGUCCAGCUAUUUGAACACAUGAUCAUGGUCCGAGAUGCAAGAGAAACUUAAUGUGGGAUUUUGAGGGACAUUAUCUAGGCUCUAGUUGGAUCACUUAUUAGCAAGGCCCCAAUGGAAGACAAGGUACCACAGACUGUAAUGCAGUCAUAUCUGCUAUUGAUCUACAACCAUUUUGCACAAGCAAGGCCAAUAUAUAUAUUAGAGCACAUGCCCACAGUUUCUGUUGCAUGCAUAAACUCAAUUGGAAUUGUUUUUUGGGUGAAGUAAAGGUAUGAAUUUGGAGGCUCAAUAUUUUGUCUAUAACUUCAAACUUACUCCGACUAACUACGACAAGGACACUUGAGAACAAGAUUUAUGUCAUUGGCAUCUGUUAUAUAUCCAAUGAUUUGGUUGAGAGGCAGUUGGAAAAGAUGAGGUUUUGAAGCAAAGAAGAAAAGAAGAAGAAGAAAAGGAUUUGUUGUUAAACUGAAAAGAGAUUAUUAUGUAUGAUGAAGGAGUAAUUCUUUGGCAUUUUGCUUGUAUCUUGUCUGCUUUAAAGGCGGAUGACAUAUUAGA